rnacentral:tRNA from 3 species
GCCUGGGUGGCGGAAUUGGUAGACGCAAGGGACUUAAAAUCCCUCGGUGGUCCCCCACCGUGCCGGUUCAAGUCCGGCCCUAGGCACCA